rnacentral:rRNA from 1 species
AGCAGCCGCGGUAAUUCCAGCUCCAAUAACGUAUAUUAAAGUUGUUGCAGUUAAAAAGCUCGUAGUUGAAUUUCGGGGUCAGUAGGUUGGUCGUGCCACCGGUACGUACUGGUCUCACUGAUUCCUCCUUCCUGAUGAGCUGUAAUGCCAUUAAUUUGGUGUUGCAGGGAAUCUGGACUGUUACUUUGAAAAAUUAGAGUGUUUAAAGCGGGCUAACGCUUGAAUACAUUAGCAUGGAAUAAUGAAAUAGGACGUUCGAUCCUAUUUUGUUGGUUUCUAGGAUUGACGUAAUGAUUAAUAGGGAUAGUUGGGGGCAUUAGUAUUCAAUUGUCAGAGGUGAAAUUCUUGGAUUUAUUGAAGACUAACUACUGCGAAAGCAUUUGCCAAGGAUGUUUUCAUUAAUCAAGAACGAAAGUUAGGGGAUCGAAGACGAUCAGAUACCGUCGUAGUCUUAACCAUAAACUAUGCCGACUAGGGAUCGGAUGAUGUUAAUUUUUAAUGUACUNAUUCGGCGCCUUAC